GGGGGCGUACUGGUUUCGACUUAGGGUUUGAGAUCCAGGUGGCAUGCCGAGGAAGACUCGUUGGCCUCGUAAAAAAUCGAGUCAAAAAAACAACUGCUGAGACUAACGAUCUCGCUCUCGCGGCCUAAUUAAACCGUGACGUGUCCAGCCG
rnacentral:tmRNA from 1 species